GGAUUGUCAGCUGAGCAUGGCGCUAACAAUGCCAAGGUCACGGGUUCGAUUCCCGUUCGGUCCU
rnacentral:tRNA from 1 species